rnacentral:tRNA from 1 species
GUAGUGGUAGUUCAUUGGUAGAAUGCUCGCCUUCCAUGCAGGAGGCCCAGGUUCAAAUUCUCUGCCAGUGCA